rnacentral:lncRNA from 1 species
GGCUCAUUAAAUGGCCCUUGAAUCAAAAUGAGUUUGACACCCCUGUUCUAGACUAUAUAGCAUCAACACAACCUAAAGUUUUGAAGAAAGACCCAACCUUCCAGCUCAAGGCCUCCUUAGACAAAUUAACUUCUAACAGACUCUUUCCCCAAGAAUGGAAGCAUGCGAAAAUACAAGCACCAAUGUGCCCUCGGCUAUUCGCAUAUAUGAAGACACACAAACAGCCGGUUAAGCCUCGACCCAUAGUCGAAAAAAGAAGCGCUCCUACUUUUAAUUUAGAGAAAGCUAUAGCCAGUUGGUGUUUGACUAUAUUGGGCCAGAAUGAGAAUUCCACCCCCAUUACAGAGGAAGCCUUGAACAGGAUUAGAAUGAUAACAUGGCAACCCCACUAUAUUAUGGCUGUGUUUGACU